CGUUUUCUCGAGUCAUCUUCAACUUCAAGGGUUAGGUUUUGAAAGAGUAUCAUCUGACUCUUCUCGGCUCCCUAUCAUUCUAUGGCCCUGACUUCGGCCUCAAAUCACCCUUUCUACGAGGCUUUAAGGGAGAAGAGAGAAGAUCCCCUUCUUGAUCUUCAAUUUCUUAUCCUUAAAUUGAAGGUCUAUAGAGGAGAUUAGUUCGAUGAUAGCUACAUUCAUCAACAUCAUCAGUGGUAGCUAUGAAAUAUUGGUUCAGUAAUUCAUCUGCUUCCAUCUUUGGCUCUUUUAGUAGUUAGGGUUAGAGUUUCUCAAAG
rnacentral:lncRNA from 1 species